UCGUACGAAAAAGCAAUUUUUAGUGGCGGACGGGUGAGUAACACGUGAGAAUCUGCCCUUAGGAAGAGGAUAACAAGUAGAAAUAUUUGCUAAAACUCUAUAUGCCAGUAGGUGAAAAAAGUAAUUUGCCUAAGGAGGAGCUCGCGUCUGAUUAGCUAGUUGGUAGGGUAAAGGCCUACCAAGGCGACGAUCAGUAGCUGGUCUGAGAGGACGAUCAGCCACACUGGAACUGAGACACGGUCCAGACUCC
rnacentral:rRNA from 1 species